AUUGAACGCUGGCGGAAUGCUUUACACAUGCAAGUCGAACGGCAGCACGGACUUCGGUCUGGUGGCGAGUGGCGAACGGGUGAGUAAUAUAUCGGAACGUAUCCAAUAAUGGGGGAUAACUAAUCGGAAGGUUGGCUAAUACCGCAUACGUCCUACGGGAGAAAGCUAGGGACCUUCGGGCCUGGCGUUAAUGGAGCGGCCGAUAUCGGAUUAGCUAGUUGGUGAGGUAAAGGCUCACCAAGGCGACGAUCCGUAGCUGGUCUGAGAGGACGACCAGCCACACUGGAACUGAGACACGGUCCAGACUCCUACGGGAGGCAGCAGUGGGGAAUUUUGGACAAUGGGCGAAAGCCUGAUCCAGCCAUUCCGCGUGAGUGAAGAAGGCCUUCGGGUUGUAAAGCUCUUUCGCAGAGAAGAAAACUUACCCUCUAACAUAGGGUGAGGCUGACGGUAUCUUGAUAAGAAGCACCGGCUAACUACGUGCCAGCCGCCGCAGUAA
rnacentral:rRNA from 1 species